UACGGGGGGAGCAAGCGUUGUUCGGAUUUACUGGGCGUAAAGGGCGCGUAGGCGGUCAGCACAAGUCAGUUGUGAAAUCUCCGGGCUUAACUCGGAAAGGUCAACUGAUACUGUGCGACUAGAGUGCAGAAGGGGCAACUGGAAUUCUGGUGUAGCGGUGAAAUGCGCAGAUAUCAGGAGGAACACCGGUGGCGAAGGCGGGUCUCUGGGCCGUAACUGACGCUGAGGAGCGAAAGCAUGGGGAGCGAACAGG
rnacentral:rRNA from 1 species